CAUCUCUGGCUUCUCGUCAUAGAAAUACGGAUAAUUCUUUCGCCUUUUACUAAAGAAUUCCGUGGCGAGGAGCACUCAAUGAGUCUAUAGACUAAUUUUUGAAUUCCUGUCUUCGGACGGGAU
rnacentral:snRNA from 1 species